CACCUCUCAAAUAAAUAAAUAAAAUAUUAAAAAAAAUAUAUUAGCAGUGGUGGCAUUGCUAGUUGGCCUGUCGCUGGCUGAGAUGUCCACACUCCACAUCGGAGGUCCUGGAUGCAUUUCCUGCUCUGGCUCCUGACUCCAGCACACUGUUAAUGCAGCCCCGCCCCCCGGGGGAGGGGCAGCUGUGGCGGCUCAAGAAGUAGGGCUUCUGCCACCUCCAUGGGACACCUGGAUGAACUCCCGGCUCCUGGAUUUGGCCAAGCCUAAUCCCAUUCUGUUUACUAUGGGCAUUUGGGGAGUGUACAGGAGUGUGUAGUCUCUCUCUCCCUCUCUCUCUCUCUUCUCUCUUUCUUCUUCUUGUAUAAUAAUUUGUCUUUAAAAGCUGAAAAUGAAAAGCUACUGGGUACCUCCUGGGUCGGGUCUUUUGCACACGUGGGUGUAUUCCAUCCCGGCAGAACCUCUGAGGCCUUCGCCGAGACCCCCGCUCUCCAGGCGAGCAAAUGCAGGCUCAGAGGACGCGCCACCUGCCGCUGGGCAGCCCCGGACACCAGGCCAGCCCUGCUCCCUGUCCCGUCUCCAUCUGCCUUGUUGCGCCUGGGGCCUGUUUGGUUCUGGCCUGGCUUCUCAGCCUUGGCCUUGUCCGGUCCUGGCCCCGCCCCUCCCUGUCUGAACACAGCAAGGUGGGAUUUCCUCCAGGGACCUCGCAAUCAAGGCCGCCGGCUUGCCGGGCUGCAGCCCAAGGCCUGCUAUAAACUCUGCCAUGAAUGGCCGCCAUUCUCUGCCCCAACUCCAGCUCCAGCUCACCGCCGCCCCGCAGCCCGGGAAGGGAGACCUCAGCCUCCUCCAGGCCUGUAAACACCAGAGCCACACACACAGCGAGGCCACAGCCGCCAAUGAAUCCUGGCCCCAGGGUUCUCUUAAAGGAGCAGAGCCCAGUGGCGACAAGGGGCCAGGGCCUGCAUGGAGAGCAGCAGCGGGACUCACAACCCUCUCCCCAGGCUCCCAGCAGGAAGGAGGAUGAAGCCACGCCCACCCCAGGAGCGUCUCCAGGAGCACCAGGGGUGCUGUGCUAACCGGGCGUGCUUGAGUGCAGUCAAGUGGGCGUUAUGAAAUGAGCUGUGACUGCCCCACCUCAGAGGCGACACCUGGCCUUAAGCUCAAAUUCCACCACCCUCCUGGGGUGCACAUUGUGGUACAGCUAGGGUUAAGCCUCCACCUGCAGUGCCAGCAUCCGUAUCAGAACACAGAUUGGAGUCCCGGCUGCUCCACUUCCAAUCCAGCUCCCUGCUGAUGCGCCUUAGAAAGCUCCCUGCACCCACAUGGGAGACCCAGAAGAAGCUCCUGGCUCCUGGCUCCUGGCUCCUGGCUCCUGGCUCCUGGCUCCUGGCUCCUGGCUUUGGCUUGGCCCAGCUCAGGCUAUUGCAGCCAUUUGGGGAGUGAACCAGCAGAUUGAAGAUUGAAGAUCUCAAUCAAUCAAUCUCUCUCUCUCUCUCUCUGUUUCUCUCUCUCUCUUUCUCUCUCAAGCUGCCUUUCAAGUAAAAUUAAGCACAUCUUUUAAAUAAAGAUAGACAGUUUCACA
rnacentral:lncRNA from 1 species